rnacentral:rRNA from 1 species
UACAGAGGUGGCAAGCGUUGUUCGGAAUUACUGGGCGUAAAGGGCGCGUAGGCGGCCUUCUAAGUCAGACGUGAAAUCCCCCGGCUUAACCUGGGAACUGCGUCUGAUACUGGGAGGCUUGAGUAUGGGAGAGGGAUGUAGAAUUCCAGGUGUAGCGGUGAAAUGCGUAGAUAUCUGGAGGAAUACCGGUGGCGAAGGCGGCUAUCUGGCCAUGUACUGACGCUGAGAUACGAAAGCGUGGGGAGCAAACAGG